CAGUAGCCACGGUAAUACGAAGGGUGCAAGCGUUAAUCGGAAUUACUGGGCGUAAAGCGUGCGUAGGCGGUUUGUUAAGUCUGCUGUGAAAUCCCCGGGCUCAACCUGGGAAUGGCAGUGGAUACUGGCAAGCUAGAGUGUGUCAGAGGAUGGUGGAAUUCCCGGUGUAGCGGUGAAAUGCGUAGAGAUCGGGAGGAACAUCAGUGGCGAAGGCGGCCAUCUGGGACAACACUGACGCUGAGGCACGAAAGCGUGGGGAGCAAACAGGAUUAGAUACCCCAGUAGUCCCUGUCUCUUAUAC
rnacentral:rRNA from 1 species